rnacentral:rRNA from 1 species
AUUGAACGCUGGCGGCAGGCUUAACACAUGCAAGUCGAGCGAGCGGCGGACGGGUGAGUAAUGUCUGGGAAACUGCCUGAUGGAGGGGGAUAACUACUGGAAACGGUAGCUAAUACCGCAUACCAUCAGAUGUGCCCAGAUGGGAUUAGCUAGGUGGUGGGGUAAUGGCUAACCUAGGUGACGCUCCCUAGCUGGUCUGAGAGGAUGACCAGCCACACUGGAACUGAGACACUGUCCAGACUCCUGCGGGACGCAGGAGUGGGGAAUAUUGCACAAUGGGCGCAAGCCUGAUGCAGCCAUGCCGCGGGUAUGAAGAAGGCCUUCGGGUUGUAAAGUACUUUCAGCGAGGAGGCGUUACUCGCAGAAGAAGCACCGGCUAACUCCGUGCCAGCAGCCGCGGUAAUAC